CUGGCAGCUGCCUGCAGGACGGGCACCGCUACAGCGACAAGGACGUGUGGAAGCCGGAGCCGUGCCGGAUCUGCGUGUGCGACACGGGGACGGUGCUGUGCGACGAGAUCAUGUGCGAAGAGCUGCGGGACUGCCCCAGCCCCGAGAUCCCCUUCGGAGAGUGCUGCCCCAUUUGCCCCACCGAGCAGCCCAGCGGGAAGCCUGGCCCCAAGGGACAGAAAGGUGAACCUGGUGACAUCAAAGAUGUCGUAGGACCCCGAGGACCCCCGGGCCCACAGGGCCCCGCAGGUGAGCAGGGACAGCGAGGGGACCGCGGCGAGAAGGGCGAGAAGG